GCGUCCGUAGCUCAGUUGGUUAGAGCACCACCUUGACAUGGUGGGGGUCGGUGGUUCGACUCCACUCGGACGCACCA
rnacentral:tRNA from 1 species